CCUACGGGUGGCAGCAGUAGGGAAUAUUGCUCAAUGGGGGAAACCCUGAAGCAGCAACGCCGCGUGCAGGAUGACGGUUUUCUGAUUGUAAACUCCUUUUGGUAGGGAAGAUAAUGACGUUAUCUAACGGAUAAGCAACGGCUAACUCCGUGCCAGCAGCCGCGGUAAUACGGCGGGUGCAAGCGUUACUCGGAAUCACUGGGCGUAAAGAGCGCGUAGGCGGGAUAGCAAGUCAGAUGUGAAAUCCUAGGGCUUAACCAUAGAACUGCAUCUGAAACUGUUAGUCUAGAGUAGGGGAGGGGCAGGUGGAAUGAUUGGUGUAGGGGUAAAAUCCGUAGAGAUUAAGAGGAAUACUCAUUGCGAAGGCGACCUGCUAGAACAUAACUGACGCUGAUGCGCGAAAGCGUGGGGAGCAAACAGGAUUAGAUACCCUAGUAGUC
rnacentral:rRNA from 1 species